rnacentral:rRNA from 1 species
GACGAACGCUGGCGGCGUGCUUAACACAUGCAAGUCGAACGGAAAGGCCCUGCUUUUGUGGGGUGCUCGAGUGGCGAACGGGUGAGUAACACGUGAGUAACCUGCCCUUGACUUUGGGAUAACUUCAGGAAACUGGGGCUAAUACCGGAUAGGAGCUCCUGCUGCAUGGUGGGGGUUGGAAAGUUUCGGCGGUUGGGGAUGGACUGGCGGCUUAUCAGCUUGUUGGUGGGGUAGUGGCUUACCAAGGCUUUGGCGGGUAGGCGGCCUGUGAGGGUGACCGGGGACAAUGGGACUGAGGUACGGACCAGAGUGGUACGGGAGGCAGCGGGGGGGAGUAUUGUACAAUGGGCGGACGCCUGAUGAAGCGGCGCCGCGUGCGGAAAGACGGCCUUCGGGUUGUAAACCGCUUUAGGCUGAGACGAAGCGUGAGUGACGGUAAUGGGAGAAGAAGCACCGGCUAACUACGUG